UACGUAGGGGGCAAGCGUUGUCCGGAAUUAUUGGGCGUAAGAGCGCGUAGGCGGUCCGAUAAGUCGGCUGUGAAAGUCAGGGGCUCAACCCUUGGAAGCCGGCCGAUACUGUCGGACUAGAGUCCGGAAGAGCGAGUGGAAUUCCCGGUGUGAGCGGUGAAAUGCGCAGAUAUCGGGAGGAACACCAAUGGCGAAGGCAGCUCGCUGGGACGGUACUGACGCUGAGGCGCGAAAGCGUGGGAGCAAACAGGAUU
rnacentral:rRNA from 1 species